rnacentral:rRNA from 1 species
UACGAAGGGGGGCUAGCGUUGCUCGGAAUCACUGGGCGUAAAGCGCACGUAGGCGGCUUCUUAAGUCAGGGGGUGAAGUCCUGGAGCUCAACUCCAGAACUGCCUUUUGAUACUGAGGAGCUCGAGUCCGGGAGAGGUGAGUGGAACUCCCGAGUGUAGAGGUGAAAAUUCGUAGAUAUUCGGAGGAACACCAGUGGCGAAGGCGGCUCACUGGCUCGAUACUGACGCUGAGGUGCGAAAGCGUGGGAGCAAACGGG